rnacentral:rRNA from 1 species
UACAGAGGGUGCAAGCGUUAAUCGGAAUUACUGGGCGUAAAGCGUGCGUAGACGGUUAUGUAAGUCAGAUGUGAAAGCCCCGGGCUUAACCUGGGAAUGGCAUUUGAGACUGCAUAGCUAGGGUGCGGAAGAGGGAAGCGGAAUUUCCGGUGUAGCGGUGAAAUGCGUAGAUAUCGGAAGGAACACCAGUGGCGAAAAGCGGCUUCCGUGGUCCAGC